GACGAACGCUGGCGGCGUGCUUAACACAUGCAAGUCGAACGGACAGACAGAGAGCUUGCUCUCUUGAAGUUAGUGGCAAACGGGUGAGUAACGCGUAAUCAACCUGCCCUUCAGAGGGGGAUAACAACGGGAAACCGUUGCUAAUACCGCGUACGAUUCAUGAACGGCAUCGUUUAUGAAUGAAAGGUGGCCUCUAUGUAUAAGCUAUCGCUGAAGGAGGGGAUCGCGUCUGAUUAGCUAGUUGGAGGGGUAACGGCCCACCAAGGCAAUGAUCAGUAGCCGGUCUGAGAGGAUGAACGGCCACAUUGGGACUGAGACACGGCCCAAACUCCUACGGGAGGCAGCAGUGGGGAAUCUUCCGCAAUGGACGAAAGUCUGACGGAGCAACGCCGCGUGAGUGACGAAGGUCUUCGGAUUGUAAAGCUCUGUUAAUCGGGACGAAAGAGUUCUGCGUGAAUAAUGCAGAAAAGUGACGGUACCGGAAUAGAAAGCCACGGCUAACUACGUGCCAGCCGCCGCCGUAA
rnacentral:rRNA from 1 species